UAUCCACACCAUUAACUCAUGACUAACGCCGUUAACGUUUUUAAAAAAACUUAAAAAAAAACGUUUUUAAAAAAACAAUUACUGUUCUCUGCCAUCCUUUUCUAUUUGUUUAUUUUCCCAAGAAUUCUUUUUUAUAACUUCUCCAUCUCUCUGAAUCGUACACCAGUGCUUGAACCAAGGCAUUCAUGGUUGUUAUUCAUCCAAUUUUUCAAAGGAGAAAAGGUUGCAUGCGGAGCAAACCCCACGGGCAAGAGAAACGCUGAUACAAGGGAGAACAGAGGAAAGAGAACAUAGAAGAAGGGGAAGAAAGGAAUUAUGAACGAGUGAAGCGGUGGUGGCCUGGCAUCUCCGGCGGUGCAACAGGCUUCGGCGACGGCUUCAAAUAGCGAUAACGAUGGCAGAUCUGCGGUGGAUCCUUCCAUUGACGAAGUGGUGUGUCACGGCAACGGCGGAUCUGCAGUGGAUUCUUUCAUCGACGCGCGAAGUGGUGCGGCACGACAUGGCAGAUCUGCCAUUUCUGGGUUGGGAAGGAGAGAAGAAAACCGUGGCAGAGGAAGGAAAAAAGAAGAUACGCAAAGAUCAGGAGGAAGAAGGAGAUUGCAGGAUUAAAGGCACGAAUUGUUAAACGGAAAGAUAACAGAGACAUUUAAUUAAAAUAAACUAAUCCAUAUGUCAUAUUACUAUUGGAAAACAGUACCAACAUGACUUAUGGUACUGCACCUAAGUUUUACCCAUCUAGAAAAGGGUUGAAGAUGCUCAUCAUAGAUGACGAAAGAGUUGUAUCUAACACUACACGCAACGUAGUGUAUCAAGAAGUCUUCGAUAAUAUUUGACAUCAUAAAAAAAUACUAAGCAAUUUAUUGAUCAUCUAAUUUGAAGGUGUAUUGACGUUUCUAUAAGGUUCUAUAGCUCAAAUAUGCUUUAUUGACAACAAGCUCGGUUAUGAAGACUUUAUCAUUAAUCAUGAACUACAAUUUCGAAUAAGGGUUCAUAUUGCUGUCAUUGUUAUGUUUAUCUUAUUUCAAUUUCCAUGUAAUGCAUUACUUAAAAACUUGGUUUUUAUUACUAUUCAAGUGUUG